rnacentral:rRNA from 1 species
AGCAGUCGCCGCGGUAAUACGUAGGUGGCAAGCGUUGUCCGGAAUUAUUGGGCGUAAAGGGCUCGCAGGCGGUUUCUUAAGUCUGAUGUGAAAGCCCCCGGCUCAACCGGGGAGGGUCAUUGGAAACUGGGAAACUUGAGUGCAGAAGAGGAGAGUGGAAUUCCACGUGUAGCGGUGAAAUGCGUAGAGAUGUGGAGGAACACCGGUGGCGAAGGCGACUCUCUGGUCUGUAACUGACGCUGAGGAGCGAAAGCGUGGGGAGCGAACAGGAUUAGAUACCCCUGUAGUCCCUGUCUCUUAUAC